rnacentral:rRNA from 1 species
CACGCAGGCUGAAUUAUAAGUCGGUAGUAAAAGGCGGAGGCUCAACUUCCGUAUAUCUAUCGAUACUGUAAAUCUAGAGUAUGUGAGAGGGAAGCGGAAUUCCCGGUGUAGCGAUGAAAUGCGUAGAUAUCGGGAGGAACACCAGUGGCGAAGGCGGCUUCCUGGCACAAUACUGACGCUCAUGUGCGAAAGCCAGGGCAGCGAACG